UCAUAUAGCAUAAAAUAAGUUUACAGGCGGAAGCUGUACGCUCUUGUACACAAGCAUAUUUUUCAUAGCUAACUCGUACAGCUAUUUUUUUCAGAGUAUAGCACGAUAGGAUCACAACAGGGGUUAACUCCUAAUUAACAUAUUUACAAGCUACAUCCAUAUAUACACGACCGAGCAUAUAUAUGAUGCUUCAUGGACGAUGGAACCACAGCUUAUGGACGGUGAACUCCGCGUUCUUAUUGAUGUCGUCUCGCUCCUUCUUGCAACUCCCACUUCUUUCUCGCGAUGAAUUCCUCCGCCAACUUGUUGAUGUCAGGUAUGUUGAUGAAUUCAAUCGCCACCUCCCC
rnacentral:lncRNA from 1 species